ensembl:lncRNA
GCUUGGUUCUUCUCAGUGGUUCAAUGAUUCAAGUCAACCCCAAUAGACUUUGGACAGAAAAUACCAUCUGUCUCCAGAAAAAGAACUAAGGAGACUGAAUGCAAAUCUACACGUUAUGUUCACUUUUGUUUUUGUUUUCUCUCUCCCAUGGUUUUUCCCUUUUUUCCUAAUUUUCCCCCUCAACACAAUUCACAGAGAAAUAUGCACUAAGACCAAAUAAUUAAAAAAAGUAAAUAGUUGUACGCAUAACAAGAAAAUAUUUUAUAUCCUAAAAUUAUCAGCCUUUAAGUAGCUCCUAGCUUGAAACCAAGUACCUUCACACUUGAGGCUAAAGAAAGGUCAUUGUCGGAUCAGGGAAGGCCACAAAGAGGCCAUCUUUGAGCUGGACUUCACAGAGCUUGGGGAAAAUUCUACUGACAGAGAAUGGAGGCUAAGGGCCCGGGAGAAGGCUGCAGGGCUGAGUCCACAGAGCUCAGAAUAAGCUUUUUUAAAUAACAAAAGGAACACAAUUACAAUCUCCUCUGGACACUAAGCUACUAGGCAAACCCCCUGACAGGAAACCAAAAGCCUGAGCACAAUGUCCUAAUACAAUUACAAGAAUCUCAAACUACACCUGCCAGUAAUCGGAGACCAACGACAAGGUAAGUCAUGCUAGCCUGCGUGGGACGUGUGGUGCCAUGAAAAAGAACAAAUAAAGAUUAAAAAAUAGAAGUACCAUGAACACAUAACCAUGAAACCAAACUGAAUCUGAAAGAAUAAAUGCAAAUAAAAAUCAUGAGAAAUGUCACUGCUAAUUAAAGAAAAAACCGCCAGUUAAAAUGAAACUUUUUUCUAUUUUACUUUGUUAACGCUCUGAAAUUACCAAUCACAUAAAAAGGUACAGGGGGCGUCUCAUUGUACAACAGGAGUGGGACAAACCCCCUAUAGUAGGCAGGACCUGGAAUAACCAGGAUGAGACCCAGCAGAUCAAUGCAGAUCAGAGGAAGACUAACACAGAUGACUACCCAACAUUAUUUGAGAAAUACAAGGGAGGGUGAAAUCAAGUGUUGUGAGAAGUCUAAAGGGGAAGGGGGUGGCUCAAACUGAGGGUUCGGAGGAGAUCACAAGGCCUAGGGAAAGGGCUGAAAGCAGAGCAUCUAGGGGAGCUUUUACCAGUCCAGUCUGGCUAAAGCCAUAAAGUAAUGGGAGGCUCUGAACCACAUGAAAGAGAAGCUAAGGGAAGAUAAAGUUUCUGAGCAGCACUGCAGUAACUCAAGUGAAACUAAAAGCACGUUAGAGUAGACAACAAAUCCAUUAUCAAAGUGCUGAGAAACAGACAUUAUUACUGAAUGACAGGAAAAGUGGGUUACAGGAUUUGGCAAAAUGGGGUCCUACGACACACUCCAACAUAUUACAGAUGUACACGUGAUUCCCAUGGAACCUUUGUAAAAUAAUUUUCCUCAUGGGGAGAAAUACUUAAUUCAACAAACAGGACAGGAGACAAAAUAAAUGAUUGCAAAUCCUGGCCUCAAAUUAAAUGGCCAAAUUUAUAAUAUUCAAAGUGCCAAAGGAUAGAAACAAUGCAGAUGUCAAAAUAGAAACCAUUAACUCCAGGAAAGUAUUCAAACUAAGGGAAGAAAUGGAAAAGAUUAAGAAAUUAAGAAAGCCACCAUGGGAUGCCCAGUGAGCUGGGGGCAAAUGGGCACACUGAGACAGUCGGGGAGCUGUGAAGUGGAAUACAAUAAACAACUCCUGCAUUUAUAUUCUUUCACUUCAGUAUUUCUCCAUUAAGCUACAUUCUAGGGCAUAACAGGGAGAAGACAGCAUAGAUGACAUGUGGGAAGCAGUAUUAGUUUCAAGGGCAAAAAUCCUAGAAAUCCAUCACAUGUGACAACUGGGAUAAUGGCCUGAACAAACUGUACCAUCCAAAUGAUGCAACAUUCGUAUACCAUAAGAAGUUAUAAAUAUGAAUGAAAUAAAACAUGGGGAGACAAGAGACAAAGACACACCUGAUGAAAAUGUAGUGCUAGCCAGCUGUAGCAAAAACCAGGAGCCAAGUAGCCCAUCCAACUGUCAACAGUCCUUAGCAUUUUUUAACUAAAAUCACCAAGAAGAAGAAAUUGAUUGAAAGGCCAUUUACAACAGAAGAAUCUAUAAAGUAUUUGGGCAAGACACGUGUUAGACCUUCAGUCAACUCUACCAGCUUUAGAGGAAUAAAAAUUAAAUUGGACAGUCAAACCCAGGGCCCAAAAUCAUUCAUCGAAUUUUGCUGCUUACAUAGCAAUAUAGCUUAUGCAAUAACUAGAAAUGGUGUAUUAGAUAUAUGUACACAUCUAGGUACAGCUGUAAUAUAUGCAUACAUAUAAGAUGUAAAUAAGAAAUGAGCAGUGAAUCAAAUUAAAUAACUCCCCAUCAACAAAAGGCAUAAAACUAUGAUAAUUUAAAUUAUCAAAAUACUAGGGAAAGGAUCUAAUAGGCAGGAAAAAUGAGACUAGAUAUAUCUCACUGUAUAUAACAAAUUGCAAAAGAAAUGACCUAAUGAAUUACCAUAAAAAAAGUUUUCAAGAACUAUAAAUUCACAAUUACAUGUUAAGACCUAUAAGAAAAAUGCAGAGAAUUCAGAUAAAAUACUCUAUGACUAGAAUCGAUAAAGCAUCGCUGGUAGAGCCAUGGCAAGAGAGGCACAUCGUAACCCUGCUGGGGCAGCUAAGAACUGAUCUCAUUCUUACUGAAAUAUGGGAUAGCAUAAUGAGAAAUGACAUUAUUUCUUAGACCUUUUCGUCCCAGGGCUCCCACUCCAAGGGCUACCCUAUAAAGAAAUACUGGACUCAUUUGCCUAUGCAUGGCAGCAGUAUCUACAGUGGUCCUCAAAGUGUAGUCCAAAGAAUUGUUGGGGUCUCUGAAACCCUUUCAGAGGAUCUACAAAUUCAAAAUUAUUUUUUUAUUUCUAAUAUAGUAAAUAGCUAUAAAUAUAAUCCAUAUGAACAAAAACUCUUUGAACAGAUCUUGGAUAGUUUUUUAACAUGAAGAUACUGAGAACAAAAGUUUGAGAAACACUCAUCUAUAACAAAGCCCUGGAAAUUCACCCGGCUAAGCACUGGGAAAUGGCAGCAAAGCCAUGAUAACUGGAACAUGACAGAACAUUGAAAUGAGAAUCAUGAAAAAAAAAAAAAAAAAAAACAUGGGAAGGUAAUCAAAUUUUAUAGAACCAAAGUAAUAUUCACACUGACCACUGAUUAUAUAAACUCUGCGUAGGGAGAACAUAAAUGUUGGUUGAUUGAUAAUACUUAUUAAAGAGAAUAAAAAUAUACCAUAAUUACUGGAAGGCGUCUCUUUAAAAACUUUUAUAUCCUACAAUUACCAACCUAGGCUAGAGCUAAAACCAAGUUUUGUUUCUUGAGGCCCAAGAAAAGUCACCGAAGUGAAAGGGCUGAAAGAGGAGAAAAUAUACAGCUUGAGCAAAUUCUGGGCUACGGAGAAGGGGGAGAGAGGGCACAAAGUGGCCAAGUAAGCAAAAAGCGCCUGGCCUUCUCCUGGGAUUUAACAAAAAUAGGAUGAGACAUAAAACCUAUUUAUCUAAAAACAUCAUAUGAAAAUAAUGAGGGGACAGAAGAAACCAAAGGGCCAGGGGAGCUCAUCAGCUGGGGCUGGAAUAGUUACAAGGCAUAAAGAAAACAUUGAAUUUCAGGGAAGCAGAGCAUGUGGGAGACCCCAACAGGGCAGUCCGUCUGGGGCUCUAAAGGGAGGCGAGACCAGAUCAUGGGGCCAGAAGAGGCUUUGAAUCAGAGACACAUAAGGAAAGGACCCAUGGAAUUUCAGAAGAAUAAAUGGAUUCUGAUCUCACUCUAGAGAGACAGCACUCAUAAGAGUACUAAGGAGUGUGUGUUCCCUUCAGAGAAAAAGGAAUACGAUCUUUACGGUAUACCCAAGCACAGGGUCUUUACACCUAUCCCAUGGGACUCUGGAGCACCUAUGGUUAGCAGCAUUGAGGUUGGUGGCAAAUCAAAACCAGAUCACCUGUGAUCUGUGGGACUACAGUGACUAAUACAGUACAUUAACAGACGAUAAUAAUGGACAAUAAUAAUAAUAAUGGACCUGGCCAAGACAGUAACUUCAGCAGAAACAGGAUUAGGAUAAAACCACCAAUACCAGUUUAAAAUAUUGUUCUCUAACAAAUAAAAAUGAAAUUGGUGAAAAUUAAUUUACGAUAAUCGACUGCACAAUUCACAAACAUUUGGCUUAUAAUCACAACUCUAAAAAAAAAAAAUCAGUCUAAAUUUUUUUUAAAGAACUAUGGGAAGAAAUCACAUGAUAUUAAAGCAGAUCCAAAAGAAUAUUCACUAGUCAGAAUUAUACCCACUACAAAUACCUGGAGGGGGACACAACUAACCACAAGGGGGAUAGUGCAGUUUUUUGUUUUUUUUUUUUAAGAGAAUAAAAUUAGGUUUCUAAAAACUACAAAACUCUCCCUACUUAAAAUGCCGAUUUUAUAUGGCCUUCUCUUAAGCAGAUCAAGUUACUUUUGUCCUUAAGUUACUUUACAGACCAACAUCAUUUUGGCUCCUGCCUCCCACAUUUAUUAGUCAACCUCUCUGGGCCUCAGUUUCCAGAGUCAUGAAAUGGAGAUUAUAAGGAUCAACAAAAGUCACCUAAAUAAAGCUCUCUGAAAAACUUCAAGGCUAGUCAGAGGCUAUUAUUAUUUACAAUGAGAAAGAAAACAGGAGGAAAAGGUUACAGUUUGAUCUCAAAAUCUAAAGUAGGAUUAAUGGAAACCAACCAGAUCUGGAAAUAAGGUCAAUGAAAAAUGGUAUUACCUCAGGGGCAGGAAGAUAGAACAAUGUAGCAUCCUGAAGGCUUGGGGAGGACAGCCCUGGUGACUGACCCUGCAUGUUCCAGCUUCCCAGCGAACCCAAUUACCUUAGAGCUACAUGAAGGAAUAAAUACAAUAUGGAAUGUAAUCACAAUUAAACAGGUGGGGAACCCUUAGCUAUUCAUCAAAUAAAGCAACUGUAGGAGAGAAAAUAAAAAAGUCAUAGCAUGAAAUAUAAAUAAUUUAUAGGAAUAAUUUUUAUUCCCCAAAAGAUAUGAGAAUCAAAUGGCCAAAUCUGAAACAAAAUCGUUCACUACUAGAAAGCAUUCAAACCACUGGGGGAAUUGGCCCGUUGGGCAGCUGCUGGGGCAGCUCUGAAUUGAUAAGACUCUCAAAUGUAAGCUCAGAAAUGGAGUACCAGACUCUGCCCUAAGGAAAUAAUAUGGGGGGAGGGCCUUGUUGGACAGGGUGGAAAGCAAACUCUACUGACCCCACAAGCCCUACCCUCUGAAUGAGACCGGUAUUCUACAGGAAACAAUACAGAUUUAAAAGUUUAAAAAUCAAUAAAUAUUAGUACCAGCCAAAAUUAUAUGAACUACAAACACAGGAAAAACAUACCUGUAAUGAGGGGGAUAACUGGAGCCAUGCCAUGUUCGAUUUUCUGAUGAUUUUUUUUCCAAUGUUUUUACAUCCUAAAAUUGAUUCAAUUACUUCGUGGAGGAGGUGGAUAACAGGAGCUAUCCAGGCUUAGGGAGGGUCACCAGGAGGAAGUGGGGGAGAAGGUGUGAGAACAAGGAAUGGAUCUGGAAGCCCAGCAUAUGGGAAACCCCGGUCUGGGAACUGGAGAUAGAGAUGGCAUUGGAUCAUGGGGGACGGCAGGCUUUGAAUCACCUUAAAUCCAAGUCUGGGCACACACACAUUGCCAAAAGGACAUUGCAGGGCGGUAAAUGGAGUACAGUGUCCCCCACACUCACAGCAACACCAUGAACAACAUGAUCUCUUCAGAGAUCUUCAGAGAUCAAAGUCUUCGAAAGAUCUAAGUCUUUAUGGUCAUCUCAGGAUUCACUUCCAAUAGGGAAGCUCUGACAAUCUCAAAUCCUCUAUCCCCACAAAGUCAGUAUUCCUGGUUAUCCCAUAGCAUUAAAUCCCAUGAUUAUAAAGCAUCUCUCGUUUGUAAGUGCCCAGCUAAGAAUUUGGGGAGAGAAGGGAAAAGCCGGGAUCGGAGCUGGCCUCUGCCAUCAUGAUACACCACCAUGGGGUGGCAACAAAGUCCUCCGUAAAAAGAAACCUAAUCAUGACACAGGAAUGAGGAAUAAAAACAGGCUAUUGAGUAACUUAUCAACAUUUCUUGAUCAUUCUCUAGCAAAAGGAUCACAAUUCAUUCAAGAAAGAACAUUUAUAACGGGACAUAAUAAAAUACAUAUAAGUUAUCACCAUUUUUAGAAAAACAAACUGGACAGAGUCUACCUGGCACCCAGGUUCACUUGUUGUCUCAGUAUCCACGGCCUGUUGAUGAAUGAAAUACAAUUUAAGCAAUAAAUCAAGAGGCAGAGUAAGAAACAGAUUAAAAGAUUUAUACAACUAGGUUUCAAAAUUACUCGCAGUACAAAGAAACCUACCUAGUAACAGAUAUAAAUGGGGAAAGGUCAAUGAAUCUAAAUCAAAAAGGCUUAAAUGGAAGCACACACGUACAUCAUGUGAUAGACUAAAAUACCAAAGCACAGAGAGGGAAACCAGAAGUUGUGUAUUGUUAUGGUGGCCGUCCUUUGUCCUAGGAGACCAAAAUGACAUCACUAUAUUAGGGUUACACUAAGUCCGACUUGGCUGAUCAGCCCAAUACAAGCUCAGAAUGCUGGCACAGGUUAGACACAUAGUCCCCACGAACACUGGGGGUCAUUUCUCUAAUUUUGCACAUCUCACGUUUCUUUUGGGAAAAUGGAUUUAGAUGUACCCUGCAACCAAACCGCAAUACUUUUAAACCACCAUACCGAAUUUAAAAAGGACUAAUAAAUCAGGAAAAUGGGAAAUUAUUAGCUACUUAAGGCAAUUGUGGUAGAGAAAAAAUGAAUUUGUAUAACAAAACUAUUAGAUAAAUAUAAAGUUCCUUAAUUCACACAUAAUGAUAAUUCACCAAAUGACAAUGAUCAAAAGAUUAUAAACUUCUCAAAAAAAUUAGAACGUACAUAGAAAUGUUCAAAUUAGCAAUGGAACUGCAAACAAGAACUCAAAUAAUACCUCAAAUAUGGGAAUAUGGGAAAGACCACACCCGAUGCUUGGAGAACCAUGGUGAAAGUCACACAACAACAGGAAUUGGUCUAUUUUUUCCAAGUGAAACAUGGAAUCAUAAUAAAGAACCAUAAUAUUCCUUGGAUUUUUUUUUUUUUUUUUUUUUUUUUUUUUUUUACUACAGGAGUCCCAUUAUGAGCUUUACUUUGCAAAAAUAUUAAAAAGGAAAACAAUAACAAAAAAACCUGGCUCUAGAACAUGCAUAGUGGUAUGAUCUAUAAAGAAAAUAGCCAAUGGAGAAUCGCGGAACAGACUGGAAUCUCAGUGUGAAGAACUAUUUAUUAUUUAACCAUUAUUGUUUUGGGCUGAGUGUCUCAGGAUGAAUAAACUACUUCAGAGAACAUGGCAACUAGGGAGGGCUGUAGAGAAGUCUGGAAGAUGUUUCCAUUCAGCUGUGUGACUAGUCAGGGCAGGUCAAUUUUGGAGGGGUAAGGGGGGUCAAUUGAGGUUGGACCCAACUCCUGGGAGGAGGUUAACAUUAUCCUGUUUGAUCCUCAUUGAGAAAGUUUUUUGAAAACCUGAUAAAACAUGUUAUUUGUUAAUAAAAUUUACAUAAGAGGAAAAAAAGGGAGAUUGUUGAAUUGCAAAAUAUUUUGUAAUAAAAUUAAAUGAAGCAAAUUAUCAGCUUAAAGUGAAAACCUGCCUAGAAUGGACUGUUUGGGAAACCCAGUAUCAAAGCAUCGAGGAAGGGGUGAAUUAUUAAAUAGACAGGAAAACUGAUAGCACAUGGCAAACGUACGAGCCACCCCUCACACUGUAUGUCCAAAUAAAUUGCAAGGUUACAUUUUUAAAGUUUUGUAGAAUUAGGAGAUAAAAAGAUGUUUUUUUCACAAUUAUUCUGGUGGAAAAUCAUUAUUUAUUCAAAACAAAUGGAGCAAGUUAUAGAUUUUAUGUAAGUUUUAUGAUAAAAGUCUGACAUUGAAAAUAAAGAAUUUAUAAGAAUAUUGUUCAUUACUCUGGGAGAUGACUAUUAACCACUACAUAGAAUUCUCAAUCCCUCUUAUUUUUGUCUGCCUGCAUUUAAGGAAAAAAAACAACAACAACAACAACAACAAAACUACAUAAGGUUCAAAAGUAAAGAGAAUUUUGAGGAUUACCAAGGAAAAUUGUUUUUUCCCCCCCAUCAUAUCAACAGAUCUGCAAAAAUUCAAUUUCUUCGAAAAGUUACAAGGGCUUCAUGUGUCUUUUUAAGUGCUAUUUAUGCUAUAUUUAAUAAAAUGAUUUUUGUCAAAAAAAAAAAAAAAAAAAAAAAAAAAAAAAGAUUGUUCAUUUUCCAAGACCAAACGAGCAAAGGAUAAACAGGUAGUUUUCAAAAUGACAAUCGGUACCUACAUUAAAUUACUCCAACCAGAAUAGCGCAAAUAUCUUGUAGCCAUAAUAUACCCUGAUAGAAUACUAUGUCUGCAACGUUGAAUUCAAGAAUAUGGGAAAUAAAGUAGAGAGAAUAAAUGCAAACUCUGGGAAAACUACACCAUCAUUCGGGAAGGAACUAUUGCUACUGUUUGUGAAAGUUCACAAACUUGGGAUAGUUUGUGAUAACUUGGGAAGAAAAACAGGCUAUGAUAAUCCUAUAAAAACAAACAACUGAAGAACAGCUGGAUGACACUUCCUAGCUGCGUCACCCUGGGCAAGUCACUUAAAAUCAAUUUACCUCACCAAAAAUAAAUAAUAGAAAUACCAUUUAUAACAGAACCCACUGAAUUCUUGGGCACCCAUAAAGACAAUUGCUAAACAGUUUAGAGAAAUCUCAAACAGCAAAUAUCAAAGCACACGGCUGGGUUCUAUAAUAUACUGAGUUUGGGUCACUGAUCUUGCAUUGCCCCAGGAAUCCACAGACUAGCUUACUUUAAAAAAAAAAAAAAAAAAAAAAAAUGUGUAACAAAUGAAAAAGAAAAUUACGGAGAAGACUUAAAACAAUGAGCGUCCAGCACUAGAUAUAAAUGAGAAAAUAUCAAUAAACAUAGCAAGUAACCUUCAAAUAGAACUGAAUCUCUACAUCACAAAAUAAAUAAAAAAUAAAAGGAAUUCUAUUACUCAGAGGAAAAUUGAUGGCAGUAUUUGGGUAGAUAGGUGGGGAACAGAAAAGGAUGAUAAACAGCACCAGAUACUUCCUAUUGCAAAACAAUAAAAGUGAGGAAAUAAUAUAGAAUUGCUCAAUCUACAUAUCACUGAAUUAGGGAAAUUUUUGCCAGUAUACAAAUUAUAGGAAAUUAAAUGAUUGUAUAAAUAGUUUUGUACAAAAACAAACAAACAAACAAACAAAAACCAAUGAUCUAAAAAAGGAAUGACUGGAAAAAACCUAUUGUAACAUGCAUUUCAAAUAACCAUGGCAUUCAGACUAAAAUGGACGGCACUGGCACAAGCGUUCAAAUAUAAAAUGGAAGUCAGGAGUUCCAUCACAGGCGGGGAGCUGUCCUCAGAGCCUUAUAUGGUAGUUUCUCUUUCAGUAUAUAACAUUUAGUAGAAAUUUAGUAUAGUAGAUUGCACAUAAUUCAGUCUCUAAAAGAACCGAAGCAUUGCCUUUUUGUCUAGGUCCAACUAGCCCAGUUCUAGGAGUGGGGAGACAUUUUAGACCCUAGAUAAAUACACUGAUGUGUAUGUAUACGUGAAAAUCCUACUCCCAAAAACUAAAAUCUAGAAUAAGUGAACAAAGCUGAACACGCCUGUUCUCAAAGUAAAAAGGAGUUUGGACCAGCCUGUCCUGGAGCCAUGGGAACCAGAUCUCAGCUACUCCCAAGGAUCAGAGUGGAGCCCAGAUACCCAAUGUCUCCAGGAUGCUGGUGCAAACUCAGCAUUGACUGAACAUAGGAAACCUUGACCUUGCCAUCCUUCCAACAGCUCGUCCUGCCACACCCUGUCUAGCUACUGUUUUAAGGUACAUUAUGGGCUCCUGAGGCUUUUCCACAGGUUUGCACUCCAGGAGCUGGAAGAUAGUCCUGGCAAACAGAGCUCAGAUAGAAGUGCCCAAAGGGGCCAAGGUUCUAGAUCAGGUCCAAAAAGGGAAAAGAGCCAUGUGGGAGGGUUUAGAAAAGUCAGAAAGCUUCCCAGAUGUGACCAUAUGAACUGGAUUUCAAGAGUCAAUUUAAGGAUUUCAACAUUAAAAAUAACCAACUGGUCUUUCCUCAAGAUUAUUGCAAGGUUAUUAACAUUUUAAGAAUGAAAUCAAAUCCACUUCAUACCAUCUGGUGCUUUUCUAAUUAAGUGCCAAGGAACCAAUUGAAAAAGCCACAAUAAGAGAAGCAGAAAAAUGAGAAGUUAUCACAAGUACGGAAUUUUUUUCUACAAAAAUAUUGAUUUGAUUACCUAAAGUUUUCAAUACCUCAAAAAUAAAUCCAGAAUAAGAAAAUGCAGAGAAAAGUCCAUUUUUGAUCAAAAUCUCACCUAAAACAAAUUAGAUUCUAUUCAAGAUUCAUUUCUCAUUAUGUAAUUGAUCAAAAAUUACAACCCCAUCUACUAAGUCCCAUCUGAGAAAUGACUCAAAUGACCAGAAAUGCAAAUUUAAGACUGACAUAUAGCACCUUGUUCUAUCCGUGAGACUGGUCCAGGACUGGGAGAGUGGGUUGUGAGUUGGCAAGAGGUCCCUGGCCACAAGUCUGGCACAAAAAUGUGUAAACUCAAUAUAUAGAAAAGUUUUAAAGGUUCAGAACCUAAGUAUUUUGUCCCAACACUUUCCACUCUUACCCAGCAGCCUAAAAGCAUCAUCCAGGGUGUUGUAGAGUGGUUACAAGGAGGCAAGAACUUCCCAGUGCAGUCACAGAACGGACUAGCACAGAAACGUCAUAAUGCGGUUUGUGACACCUAAACACGGCCCAUCAUUGCCUUAAGAAUAUCAUAUAAUAAAUGCUGAGUAUCACACCUUAUGAAGCACGGGGAGAUAAGACAGUUGGGGGCGGGAGAGGAGUCUGUAGCAUCUGGCAGCAAACACAGAAUAGGUUAAGAUAAGGCAGGAGGCAAGGAUGCCAAGUGGGGGGAGGUAGCAAUAGGGAGCAAGUGACCAAAGGCCAGGUGGCUGCAUCCAGCAGGAUAACCACCAAGAAGCCCCCUAAGGCUCAAGACCAUUGGGGUACAGGAGUGAACAGGACAGAGAAGGCUGAAGCAUCAGGGUGGAUGACCCAGACUGGAGGUCUGCAAACAUGCAGAGCCCAGGACCUCACAGUGGGGGCUGCUCCAAGGAAGGAGACUGGCCUAGGCCACAGUGAGGUACAAGAGCUGCCUUCCCUGGGGGCCUGUCUCCUCCUGAUCAGGCAAAAGCAGAAAGGGGACCCCAGCAGACAAGGCAGAAUGGCCUGAGAAUGGGGGGGUCCCAAAGUGGGGGGGAAAGGCCAAGGGAGAAGGAAGGCCCUGGCAUACCGGACCCAACCUCCUGGGCACCGGCAAGGGGCAACAGAGAGAGGCUCUGGGCAAAGUGGUGCAGAGGGAGGGAAGUAGACCUGCUCAGCACUGACCCAGGUUGCCAAGGUGUCCUAACAAUCCCAAGGAUCCACAAGUGGGAUGAUGGGGACCGUCAAAUCAAUCUUGACAAAUAAAUGGUCUGUGCUGAGUGGGACCAAGCACAUGAAUGUCAAGUCACAAGAGCCAGACUCCAUGCGGGGGGCCAGCAAGACAAGGACCAGACUCUGUCCUAACAAGGCCCAAGCCUUUUCCGUUUGUCCCGAUCUCCCCAGGGCUGGGUCUGCACAAGUGCAGGCACUCAAAGCAAUGCUUCACAAGCUAACCUUCCCUCUGGAGGGACACAAAGAUCUCCACAGUACUUAACACCAGGAGGGCCAGUACAGACAUGCCCAGUUGGGAAAAAUGGUGGUCUCCAGCUCACAAGUGUAACCGUGGGGAAAAGUGAGGAACAUUGUGGACAGGGUACACUGCGCUGAGAAAGGUCCCCAAGGAUACCAUUUGACCCCAGCACCAGGAACAGUUCACCUAAAGGCCAGAGCCUUAAACUUAUCUAGUUUCAGAAUCCACAAUCACUUAUGCAUCACAACUAUUGACAUUUCCACUUUUUGCUUUAUCAUCUCACCCAAUUCAAAGGGUGCACACCAAUACUGAGACUUGUUCACCUCCGACAAUCCCCCCCCAUUACAGAAGUAGAAAGCCAGUUUGAUAAUUUAAUCAAACCAUCCAGCAAGUGUAAUCACACUAAUGAAAUCGGGGUCAAAACACUGAUGUACAAAAAGUUGGCUCACCUGAAUCCAGCCUGGCACUGAGGAAGGAAGAGACAAUUAGAGAUUACUUCUGGACUUGCUCCCCCGUGGGGCAGGUGGUGGAAAUCGGGUUGUUCUGACCUGGGACAAACCUUUGACUAGUACACUCGAUAUACUCCCCCUUCCCAAAUGCCAAUUCUCAUUUAUUGUUCAGAUUGAACCUUGACCUUGGUGGUAGGUUAGACACCAACUCGGAUUCACACAAGCCUUCAAUUUUAGGACAUUCGAUAAACACACUGGCCAAAACAUCUCCCUUCAAUAGUUUUUCAUAGUAUAGGGCCCUAGAGAUGGCGCAACUGCUGCCACUUGUUGGGCUUUUAGUUGCUAAACCAGAACUGGAACUGGGCCUGCCCCUCCCCUCCUGCCCAAGAGGCAGUGGGACAGCCAGACUCCAGAAACAUCUCAAAGCACGUGGUACCACAAUUUGGGGGGGGGGGGGAAAGAGAGGCCAUUCUCCACAACCAAACUGUAAAAUAUUACACUUUAGGUCUGUCACCUCAGCACUUGGCUGCAACAUUAAUGUCCAGCAGAUGGCCACCAUCCUAGAUAAGAGUACCCCAGCCUGACCUCCGAGGCAAGGAGUCUCUGGUCACCUCUUUCAAACAGUCCAUGACAAUGUUGUAAUGUCCCCCAGUAUUUGCACCAAUACAUAUAUGCCCAUCACGGGACUCACAGCAAUUUGUAUUUCACACAAAUACCAACAGGUUACAGUGCAAUCAAUGACAAAGAUACUGUUUAGUUGAAAAUUACCACGGGGUGAGCUUUUAUACCUCCUAGAGCAUUCUUAGUAAACAUUAGGGUGUGGACAUAAACUGUCUUGACAAAUCGUACAGGUCAACAUAAAAUCACAUUUCACACUGCAUUAGGAAAAUAAAGUAUAGAUACCAUGUACCUAAAAGGAUUUAACCCAAAGUAACCCAAGUUUUCAGUACAAAUAGACGAUAAAAAUACAAUAGCAACAUGAAAGUUUGGAAAAAAACGAAAAACUUCAAAAUUUUUAUUUGUGCUGCUUAAGGGAGGAAAAUGUUAGUCAUUUACAAGUCAUCUGUUUAUAACUAUACAAAUACACUUACUUUUAAGCCAUUUAACUUUACACAUUUCUAGGACUAUCUACACUGAGAAAACUGUGGUCUUAAGUUUUGUUUGUAUCACGAACCAAGACUGAAAUUCAACUUUUGAUUUGCCAAGUCAACAAAACCACAAGAUGGCAACAAAGAAAAAUCAAGUUGUGCUCCCUCGCCUUCAGGUUGGAGUCACUGGCACAAAGACCCUUCAGGCUGUUUCAGCAAAGGAACAUGAUACAAAGUCACUUAACCAUCCUCAUUUUCUAAACAAUUACUAGUUAAACUAGGUAAAGUCUAGAAGUACUAUCGAGACUGACAAAAGUUCAUCGAGGCAAUUUUCCAAUGUACAAAACCCAAUUCGCUCCUUAGAAAAGUCCAAUCUAGUUUUCUGACUCCCGGUUUCAUUCACAUUUAAUGAUGGUCACAAUACAAUUAUCAGUCCCAACAUCCCUUUGUUCCCAAGUUCACAACACACGGUUCUGAUGGUACUUUAUUGAAAGGUUACAAUGACCCAUGUAUUGUACAGACACAACCUGGCAGCUGACGAUUAUCAUCUCCCCUCCCCCCAGUCACCCAGCGAACACUUAUAGUACCAAGCCUUCAAUUCACCACCACCUGUUUACCUCGAUUACCAUUCGUUUUCCUGAUAGGCCCAACCGUCAUCUUUUAAAAGCUGGUUCUAUGCAGUUCCCAAUAGUUUCCAAAAAGCAGAAUCAGCUUUAUAGUUAAGUCAGAUACUAGAGUAUCAUUUUAAAUGGGGUAAUUUUAAGAAAUUUUUUUUAGUUUUUCCUCCCAAGAUGGGCGCCUAAGUGGGCCACACUUGCCAAAGCACUUCUGUGGAACCCAAAAGGAUGGCUGUGUUUUGUAGAUUUCCCAACCAGGCCUAGCCUGUUAUUUUCCUUGAAACUUUAUACCCUCCCCGCCUCAUUCCCCCGC